rnacentral:rRNA from 1 species
AUCAUUAACUGAAUCCAUAGGUUAAUGAGGCGAACCGGGGGAACUGAAACAUCUAAGUACCCCGAGGAAAAGAAAUCAACCGAGAUUCCCCCAGUAGCGGCGAGCGAACGGGGAGGAGCCCAGAGCCUGAAUCAGUGUGUGUGUUAGUGGAAGCGUCUGGAAAGGCGCGCGAUACAGGGUGACAGCCCCGUACACAAAAAUGCACAUACUGUGAGCUCGAUGAGUAGGGCGGGACACGUGGUAUCCUGUCUGAAUAUGGGGGGACCAUCCUCCAAGGCUAAAUACUCCUGACUGACCGAUAGUGAACCAGUACCGUGAGGGAAAGGCGAAAAGAACCCCGGCGAGGGGAGUGAAAAAGAACCUGAAACCGUGUACGUACAAGCAGUGGGAGCCUCUUAAUGGGGUGACUGCGUACCUUUUGUAUAAUGGGUCAGCGACUUAUAUUCUGUAGCAAGGUUAACCGAAUAGGGGAGCCGAAGGGAAACCGAGUCUUAACUGGGCGUUAAGUUGCAGGGUAUAGACCCGAAACCCGGUGAUCUAGCCAUGGGCAGGUUGAAGGUUGGGUAACACUAACUGGAGGACCGAACCGACUAAUGUUGAAAAAUUAGCGGAUGACUUGUGGCUGGGGGUGAAAGGCCAAUCAAACCGGGAGAUAGCUGGUUCUCCCCGAAAGCUAUUUAGGUAGCGCCUCGUGAAUUCAUCUCCGGGGGUAGAGCACUGUUUCGGCAAGGGGGUCAUCCCGACUUACCAACCCGAUGCAAACUGCGAAUACCGGAGAAUGUUAUCACGGGAGACACACGGCGGGUGCUAACGUCCGUCGUGAAGAGGGAAACAACCCAGACCGCCAGCUAAGGUCCCAAAGUCAUGGUUAAGUGGGAAACGAUGUGGGAAGGCCCAGACAGCCAGGAUGUUGGCUUAGAAGCAGCCAUCAUUUAAAGAAAGCGUAAUAGCUCACUGGUCGAGUCGGCCUGCGCGGAAGAUGUAACGGGGCUAAACCAUGCACCGAAGCUGCGGCAGCGACACUAUGUGUUGUUGGGUAGGGGAGCGUUCUGUAAGCCUGUGAAGGUGUACUGUGAGGU